rnacentral:rRNA from 1 species
GGACUACCCGGGUAUCUAAUCCCGUUUGCUCCCCUGGCUUUCGCGCCUCAGCGUCAGUAGAGAUCCAGCGCGCCGCUUUCGCCACCGGUGUUCCUUCCGAUAUCUACGCAUUUCACCGCUCCACCGGAAGUUCCGCACGCCCCUAUCUCCCUCGAGACAACCAGUAUCAGGGGCACUUCCACGGUUGAGCCGUGGGAUUUCACCUCUGACUUGAUCGCCCGCCUACGCGCCCUUUAAGCCCAGUGAUUCCGAACAACGUUCGCACGGUUCGUCUUACCGCGGCUGCUGGCAC